UACAGAGGGUGCAAACGUUGUUCGGAAUCACUGGGCGUAAAGCGCGUGUAGGCGGCUUCUCAAGUCGGGUGUGAAAUCCCAGGGCUCAACCCUGGAAGUGCAUUCGAAACUGGGUAGCUAGAGUACUGGAGAGGAAGGUGGAAUGCUUGGUGUAGAGGUGAAAUUCGUAGAUAUCAAGCGGAACACCGGUGGCGAAGGCGGCCUUCUGGACAGAUACUGACGCUGAGACGCGAAAGCGUGGGGAGCAAACAGG
rnacentral:rRNA from 1 species